GACGAACGCUGGCGGCGUGCCUAAUACAUGCAAGUAGAACGCACAGUUUAUACCGUAGCUUGCUACACCAUAGACUGUGAGUUGCGAACGGGUGAGUAACGCGUAGGUAACCUGCCUGGUAGCGGGGGAUAACUAUUGGAAACGAUAGCUAAUACCGCAUAAUAUUAAUUAUUGCAUGAUAAUUAAUUGAAAGGUGCAAUUGCACCACUACCAGAUGGACCUGCGUUGUAUUAGCUAGUAGGGGAGGUAACGGCUCACCUAGGCGACGAUACAUAGCCGACCUGAGAGGGUGAUCGGCCACACUGGGACUGAGACACGGCCCAGACUCCUACGGGAGGCAGCAGUAGGGAAUCUUCGGCAAUGGGCGAAAGGCUGACCGAGCAACGCCGCGUGAGUGAAGAAGGUUUUCGGAUCGUAAAGCUCUGUUGUAAGAGAAGAACGGGUGUGAGAGUGGAAAGUUCACACUGUGACGGUAUCUUACCAGAAAGGGACGGCUAACUACGUG
rnacentral:rRNA from 1 species